CAGGGAAUCUUGCGCAAUGGGCGAAAGCCUGACGCAGCGACACCGCGUGGGGGAUGAAGGCUUUCGAGUUGUAAACCCCUUUUCCCGGGGAUGAGAAAGGACAGUACCCGGGGAAUAAGGUUCGGCUAACUACGUGCCAGCAGCCGCGGUAAUACGUAGGAACCGAGCGUUGUCCGGAUUUACUGGGCGUAAAGUGCGCGUAGGCGGUUCGUUAAGUCUCAUGUGAAAUCUCCCGGCUCAACCGGGAGGGGUCAUGGGAAACUGGCGGACUGGAGUGCAGCAGAGGGGAGUGGAAUUCCCGGAGUAGUGGUGGAAUGCGUAGAUACCGGGAGGAACACCAGAGGCGAAGGCGACUCCCUGGGCUGUGACUGACGCUGAGGCGCGAAAGCGUGGGUAGCAAACCGG
rnacentral:rRNA from 2 species